UAAAAAGGUCAUUCCUGCGGAUCGGUCAAUUCGAUGUGUUUAUUAUGAGCCUUUUCAACUUAUUGGUCAAUAAGACAAUGUUCUAGAGCGGAAGCAUUUGCCGACAAUGUCUCUAUUGGUCAAGAACGAAGUUCAGAGGUUUAAAAGCGAUUAUACACCGUUCUAGUUCUGAUCUUAAACUAUAUUAUCUAGCGAUCCGAUGAGGUAUUGUUGCCUUGUCGAGGAGCUUCUUAGAAACAAAAGUCUUUCGGUU
rnacentral:ncRNA from 1 species